GACAGAGGGGGCAAGCGUUGCUCGGAAUCACUGGGCGUAAAGGGCGCGUAGGCGGUCAGCACAAGUCAGUUGUGAAAUCUCCGGGCUUAACUCGGAAAGGUCAACUGAUACUGUGCGACUAGAGUGCAGAAGGGGCAACUGGAAUUCUCGGUGUAGCGGUGAAAUGCGUAGAUAUCGAGAGGAACACCUGCGGCGAAGGCGGGUUGCUGGGCUGACACUGACGCUGAUGCGCGAAAGCCAGGGGAGCGAACGGG
rnacentral:rRNA from 1 species